rnacentral:rRNA from 1 species
GUAAUGUCUGGGAAACUGCCUGAUGGAGGGGGAUAACUACUGGAAACGGUAGCUAAUACCGCAUAACGUCGCAAGACCAAAGAGGGGGACCUUCGGGCCUCUUGCCAUCAGAUGUGCCCAGAUGGGAUUAGCUAGUAGGUGGGGUAAUGGCUCACCUAGGCGACGAUCCCUAGCUGGUCUGAGAGGAUGACCAGCCACACUGGAACUGAGACACGGUCCAGACUCCUACGGGAGGCAGCAGUGGGGAAUAUUGCACAAUGGGCGCAAGCCUGAUGCAGCCAUGCCGCGUGUGUGAAGAAGGCCUUCGGGUUGUAAAGCACUUUCAGCGAGGAGGAAGGUGGUGAACUUAAUACGUUCAUCAAUUGACGUUACUCGCAGAAGAAGCACCGGCUAACUCCGUGCCAGCAGCCGCGGUAAUACGGAGGGUGCAAGCGUUAAUCGGAAUUACUGGGCGUAAAGCGCACGCAGGCGGUUUGUUAAGUCAGAUGUGAAAUCCCCGGGCUCAACCUGGGGAACUGCAUUUGAAACUGGCAAGCUAGAGUCUCGUAGAGGGGGGUAGAAUUCCAAGGUGUAGCGGUGAAAUGCGUAGAGAUCUGGA